AAUGGCCAAGAAAAUUAUGGGAGGUUGAGAAUAAAAUAAGAAACAUAUAAUAAAAUUUUCAGAAUUUAAAAAUGUAGAAGAAUAUUUUUAAACCAAUUAAAACAAAUGAAAAAAGAGAAAAUUCAUGAAAAAUAAAAAAUCAGUGAAAUAAAAUGUGAAAAAAUAAAAAUCAGGUGAAGAAAAAGAAUAAAGAAUUUUAGAAAUUAUUUUGGGAUUUUUUGGAUGAAAAAUGAAAUUACUAUGAAUUUUAAAAGAAAAAAGCAAUUAAAAAUAAUAAAAGAAAAUGAAUUAAAAUCAGAAAAAAUACGGAGCGUUGGAUCACACCUCAUUAGGAUGCACGAUGGAACGCGCUACAAACAACACAUGAGAUCCAAUACAAAACCAACCAAUCAAAACAUUUCGUUUGUCCAAGGUGUCUGGCCAAACUCAGACGACCUGGAACACUUCGG
rnacentral:lncRNA from 1 species